GAUGAACGCUGGCGGCGUGCCUAAUACAUGCAAGUCGAGCGAACAGACGAGGAGCUUGCUCCUCUGACGUUAGCGGCGGACGGGUGAGUAACACGUGGAUAACCUACCUAUAAGACUGGGAUAACUUCGGGAAACCGGAGCUAAUACCGGAUAAUAUAUUGAACCGCAUGGUUCAAUAGUGAAAGACGGUUUUACUGUCACUUAUAGAUGGAUCCGCGCCGCAUUAGCUAGUUGGUAAGGUAACGGCUUACCAAGGCAACGAUGCGUAGCCGACCUGAGAGGGUGAUCGGCCACACUGGAACUGAGACACGGUCCAGACUCCUACGGGAGGCAGCAGUAGGGAAUCUUCCGCAAUGGGCGAAAGCUUGACGGAGCAACGCCGCGUGAGUGAUGAAGGUCUUCGGAUCGUAAAACUCUGUUAUUAGGGAAGAACAAAUGUGUAAGUAACUAUGCACGUCUUGACGGUACCUAAUCAGAAAGCCACGGCUAACUACG
rnacentral:rRNA from 1 species